UUUUAUUAUUAUUUGUUUUUUUUUUUUUGAAAAAAAGAAAUGGUCCGGCCCAAUAACUCUAAACCUAGAUUUUCCUCUCAGCAGCAAGGGGUUCAAACCUCUCCACCUCAUUUCUCGCUCACUCAACUCAAACACUCUAGGAGCUCAGACACUCAUCCUCUUCGAACCAAGCUGGGUCUGGAGCUCGCGCACCACCAUCUCCAUCUGACAACCACCGCAUUGCCCACGCCGGACGUCAUCCCCUGAAGCCACCACUGGAGCCACCGCCAGCUAUCACUUCUUCGAAUCCAGCCACUGCGACGGCCCCCGGCUCCGUCCAAACCGUCACUGGCGACAGUAGACGCCAUCGGAACCAGUCGCUGGCCAAGACAUCACUGUCGUUCACCGCCGGCGGCCUUUCCAGCCAAAACGCUGGACCUUCUCUUCCCCCUCUCUUUUCGUUUGUCGACAGGGAGACCCUUUCCCUCGACCAGCUGCCGUGACGUCGUUCAAGCUUGAUCAGAGGUUCUGCCGGCGACGCGGGUCGCCACUGCAAGGAUGUUUUCGUUUCAGCCACCACUCGAACAGCCACCGUGCCGCUGCCCAAGCCAUCGCCAGCGCCGCUGCUCAAGCCGUCGCCAGCUCUACCGUCAAUCCAACUAUUCCUUUUUUCUUCUUCGCGUGAGGAAGAAACACCACCCUUUCAAGAACGAUGAUGGCCGCCGCAGGUCGCAGGUCAAGGCACCGCCAACACCCACUGGUCGCCGCGUCGUUGCCCACGUUAGAGGAAACCGUCGGCUACGGCGUCAGGUUCUCUCCUCCUCUCUUCAUUCCGCGCACUGUCCGAAGUUCUCACCGGUGCCCGCGGCAUCACAGAGACCAACCAACAGAGCUCUUUCCCUCUCUUCUUAACUUGUCAAGUAUUCUCGGUGCUCAUGCUUAUUGGGUUUCAUUUUGUGUUGGGGUUAAUUGAUUUGGAACGCACAACUUAGUGUAAGGGAAGGUAAAGAUGUUUUCAAUGAACUGAUUUCUUGAAUAGCAUUUCCUCUUGUUGUUGUGGUUAUGGUCGAUGACCGUGAGAACUUGGCUUAUGGCUUGUUGGAAUCGGAAUUAGAUUGGGGAAAUCUGUUUAAUUUUGUGUUUUGUUGUUCCUUUUCUGGGUGCUGAUUGAAGAAGCUAUGGUGUUGUGAUGUUUAGGGGUCAUAUUGGGUUUGCUUGGUAUCUUCUGUUUUCCUUUUUUUUGUUUGAUGCAGGAGAGCUAGGAGCAGGGGUGACAAGGAGGACGAGAAUGAGGAUAUUGUAGGCAAAACCAUGUAUGGGAAGUCAAAGGGUGAAUACGGGAGGAUGAUGGUGAAGCUGGGCGAGGGUAAAGAUUACCAAUACAAGACAAGAAUGUGGCUAGAGGUUUUAGGUUAUAGAAGAAAUGGCGGAAGGGAAAUAUUCGUACAACAAUACAUACUCAAACAGGGCAGCAAUCAAGCAUAAAGCAACGUACAAUGCAGUUAUAUUAAAUGAUGAUUCAAGAUGAGGGACGCUGAUGCUGAAGGUCCAAGAAUCAAGAGCUCUCCCUUAAGCUGUGAUGGUUCGGCGUUGGUGGUGAGUCUCCCUGGUUCAAGCCGCGUUCGUGAGAUCCUGCCCGAGGAUCAUGAUCCCUCCUCAGUGUUAUGAUAUCCCCCUUGUUGUCUUCUUGUGUUCUUUUUCUAUUCUCCUGUUGUGACUGUGCACUGCUAGGGUUUUUAUUUUCAAUCCCUCAUAGUGAGGUCUUUUCGUGAAUCAUGUAUCUUUUUUUUUAACCAUGAAACUUGAUCCUCUCUUUUCCUUCU